GCACGAGCUAACGCUCACUGAGCACUGAGUAUAUGGCCAUCACACUAAUGACGUCCAGUGAGGACCUGUGUUGGGAAGACUUGAGAAUGGCUCUGGCCUUGAUGUGUUUUAUAAAAUAAGAUUUGAUGUUUUCUUCCAUUAAAAUUAGCUGAUAUUUACACCCAGAGGGUGCCAAGCCCCACGCUAUAUUAUUUCAUUAUUAUGCACGGUUUCAUUUCAUCCUAGCACCAAUCCAGUGAAGGGUUCUUUUGUCCUCAUUUGGCAGGGAAGGAAAUGGAAGCUCGGGACGCCUCCUCAAGCCUCCAGCCAAGUUCUCUGUCACUGCUGAUCUCCUUGGCACGAUGACACGUCUGAUCAGGCACACCGGAGAACGCCCACUUUGGCUUCAGAAGGGUCUACCUCCCACUCCCACCUGGAUUCAACUCUCGACCCCAUCCACGAGAGACCUAUUACCAGGAUUUCUUCUUGUAGGCCCUCGGGACUGGAAGAAAUCAUGCACUGCAGGCGCUCCCCUCUUCCAGAAUCUAAAAGCACAGUGCAGAAGCAAACCAACCCCAUCACCUAUCACCCUGUGGCAGUCCCUUGAUAAUGAUCCAAGAAAAUCCAUUUCCGUUGAAGGAUGCAUUGGAGAACUCGCCCUGUUCUCAAGGGCCACCAGCCGGAAGCAGAGCAGAGUCAGGAAAGGUGACACUAAGAGGAGCAGACCCGUCUCCUGGCUGCUGUUCUCACAGAGGGUCCUAGGACCGCCCUGGCACACAAGUGCUCCAAGUCAUAAGCAGUGUGCACAGCGGGGGAGGCCAGGCCUCUACUGCAGCUCAGGAGAGGGCGGGCACCAGCUGCUGAACCAGGGUCCUCCUCCGGCCAGUAGGGAAUGCAAUGAUGCUUCGAAUAAGGCCUCUCUGUGGAUGGACAGCACCUGCGUGUUGGGCAAGGUGGAAUGUUAAUAACCUUGACCCCAGAUGGAAAUCUGCAAGGGUCAGACUCUGCCACACCCUUGGAGGCCUAUGUCUGACUGAGCUCCUACUGAGCUUUGGGCCACUUAGGCCCCUCCAUUGCUUUUUCAUCUGAAGACACAGGAAGGGUCAAGCCUCCAUCUUCUGAGAAUCAAUGGCCAAGGGGCACGGAGCGGGGAGAGGCUGGUUUUUAUCAUGAAUCUAUGAUUUUAUUUUCCACUGAACAUCACAAGAAUGGACCCUCUGAACCACCGCUCUUGCUGCUGCUGCUGCUGAUGAGCUCUGUUCUCCGUCACUGAAGAUCCAUCUUGUCCAUGUGAUAAGAAAUACAGCCCACGAAGCCUUGCAAGUCUGACCUUGUGUGGCCUUUGUUGCCCAAGAGGCAACAUACUCUCUGGUGCAAAGUUCAAUGUCCUGGGGAAGGGUUCCAGCUGAGCUAGCUGGGCUUGGCUUCUCACCUGGACCAAUCGGCUAGUGCCAGGGGGCAGGACCAUGAAGAACAUGGCAUCUCCAUCCUGCCAUGUUGGUGAAGCAGGAAGAAUAAGGGGGAAGCUUCUCCCAGAAGAACAGCUACACUGGAUAAGUGAAAAAUAAAUGUCUGUUCUAAGCAGUCUCUACAUCUCGCCUCCACUUCCUCACGCGAACUUACCCUCAACCACUUGCAAUCUAAUUUUUGCUCCCGCCACUCUACUGAGGCAGCUUUCUAAGUAAUCAACAGUGAUUUCAUAAUUAAUAAACCUGAUUGUCCCCUAGGAACUCCCAGUAUAAGAGUUGUCAACAUGGGGCUGGUUCUAGUUACAGCGCCCACUGCAGCAGAGGCCUCUUGGGUUUGUCUGUCCAACCUGGGAACCAAUGACCACCCUCUUCCCUGGAAACUUCCAUUUCUCCCAUAAAUAGGGGUGGGACAUGAUGCUUGUGUUAAAACCAUGUCAACC
ensembl:lncRNA